rnacentral:tRNA from 1 species
AUGCGGGUGGCUCAGUUGGUGGAGCGUGAGACUCUUGAUCUCAGGGUCGUGAGUUCAAGCCCCACAUUGAAUG